rnacentral:rRNA from 1 species
CUUCGGGUCUAGUGGCGCACGGGUGCGUAACGCGUGGGAAUCUGCCCUUGGGUUCGGAAUAACAGUGAGAAAUUACUGCUAAUACCGGAUGAUGUCUUCGGACCAAAGAUUUAUCGCCCAGGGAUGAGCCCGCGUAGGAUUAGGUAGUUGGUGGGGUAAUGGCCUACCAAGCCGACGAUCCUUAGCUGGUCUGAGAGGAUGAUCAGCCACACUGGGACUGAGACACGGCCCAGACUCCUACGGGAGGCAGCAGUGGGGAAUAUUGGACAAUGGGCGAAAGCCUGAUCCAGCAAUGCCGCGUGAGUGAUGAAGGCCUUAGGGUUGUAAAGCUCUUUUACCCGGGAUGAUAAUGACAGUACCGGGAGAAUAAGCUCCGGCUAACUCCGUGCCAGCAGCCGCGGUAAUACGGAGGGAGCUAGCGUUGUUCGGAAUUACUGGGCGUAAAGCGCGCGUAGGCGGUUACUCAAGUCAGAGGUGAAAGCCCGGGGCUCAACCCCGGAACUGCCUUUGAAACUAGGUAACUA